rnacentral:rRNA from 1 species
UACGGAGGGUGCGAGCGUUGUCCGGAAUCACUGGGCGUAAAGGGCGCGUAGGUGGCUUCUCAAGCGCGCGGUGAAAGCCCGGGGCUCAACCCCGGGUCGGCCGUGCGGACUGGGAGGCUCGAGCACUGGUAGGGGCGGGUGGAAUUCCGGGUGUAGCGGUGGAAUGCGUAGAGAUCCGGAAGAACACCGGUGGCGAAGGCGGCCCGCUGGGCAGGAAGACGGGGCAACCCGGUCGGCUGACACUGAGGCGCGACAGCGUGGGGAGCAAACAGG